UACGAAGGGGGCUAGCGUUGCUCGGAAUGACUGGGCGUAAGGGGCGCGUAGGCGGUUCAUACAGUCAGAUGUGAAAUUCCUGGGCUCAACCUGGGGGCUGCAUUUGAUACGUGUGGACUAGAGUGGGGAAGAGGGUCGUGGAAUUCCCAGUGUAGAGGUGAAAUUCGUAGAUAUUGGGAAGAACACCGGUGGCGAAGGCGGCGACCUGGUCCUUGACUGACGCUGAGGCGCGAAAGCGUGGGGAGCAAACAGG
rnacentral:rRNA from 1 species